GGAAGAGCACCGCACGUCG
rnacentral:snRNA from 1 species